rnacentral:rRNA from 1 species
AACACGGCAUGCUUAGUACGGCGAGUGAAGCGGCAAAAGCUCAAAUUUGAAAUCUGGCACCUUCGGUGUCCGAGUUGUAAUUUGAAGAAGGUAACUUUGGAGUUGGCUCUUGUCUAUGUUCCUUGGAACAGGACGUCACAGAGGGUGAGAAUCCCGUGCGAUGAGAUGCCCAAUUCUAUGUAAAGUGCUUUCGAAGAGUCGAGUUGUUUGGGAAUGCAGCUCUAAGUGGGUGGUAAAUUCCAUCUAAAGCUAAAUAUUGGCGAGAGACCGAUAGCGAACAAGUACAGUGAUGGAAAGAUGAAAAGAACUUUGAAAAGAGAGUGAAAAAGUACGUGAAAUUGUUGAAAGGGAAGGGCUUGAGAUCAGACUUGGUAUUUUGCGAUCCUUUCCUUCUUGGUUGGGUUCCUCGCAGCUUACUGGGCCAGCAUCGGUUUGGAUGGUAGGAUAAUGACUAAGGAAUGUGGCUCUACUUCGGUGGAGUGUUAUAGCCUUGGUUGAUACUGCCUGUCUAGACCGAGGACUGCGUCUUUUGACUAGGAUGUUGGCAUAAUGAUCUUAAGCCACCCGUCUGAAAAACGGGGCCCAAAAACCCAUAAUUAAAAUUGGAGGU